GACGAACGCUGGCGGCGUGCCUAAUACAUGCAAGUCGAGCGCAGGAAACUGACGGAACUCUUCGGAGGGAAGGCAGCGGAGUGAGCGGCGGACGGGUGAGUAACACGUAAGGAACCUGCCUCAAGGAUUGGGAUAACUCCGAGAAAUCGGAGCUAAUACCGGAUAGUUCAACGGACCGCAUGGUCCGCUGAUGCAAGGCGCUUCGGCGUCACCUUGAGAUGGCCUCGCGGUGCAUUAGCGAGUUGGUGGGGUAACGGCCCACCAAGGCGACGAUGCAUAGCCGACCUGAGAGGGUGAUCGGCCACACUGGGACUGAGACACGGCCCAGACUCCUACGGGAGGCAGCAGUAGGGAAUCUUCCACAAUUGACGAAAGUCUGAUGGAGCAACGCCGCGUGAGUGAUGAAGGUUUUCGGAUCGUAAAACUCUGUUGUAAGGGAAGAACACGUACGAGAGGAAAUGCUCGUACCUUGACGGUACCUUACGAGAAAGCCACGGCUAACUACGUGCCAGCCGCCGCGGUAAGAC
rnacentral:rRNA from 1 species